rnacentral:rRNA from 1 species
GCAGGCUUAACACAUGCAAGUCGAGGGGCAGCGGGGAGUAGCAAUACUCUGCCGGCGACCGGCGAAAGGGUGCGUAACGCGUGAGCAACCUGCCCGUAUCCGGGACAUAAGCGGUGGAAACGCCGUCUAAUUUCCCAUAACAACAGAGGCCGCCUGACCUUUGUUUGAAAGAUGCGUCGGAUACGGAUGGGCUCGCGAGACAUUAGCUAGUCGGCGUGGUAACGGCACACCGAGGCGACGAUGUCUAGGGGUUCUGAGAGGAAGGUCCCCCACACUGGAACUGAGACACGGUCCAGACUCCUACGGGAGGCAGCAGUGAGGAAUAUUGGUCAAUGGGCGCAAGCCUGAACCAGCCAUGCCGCGUGAAGGAAUAAGGCCCUAUGGGUCGUAAACUUCUUUUGUGGUGGAGCAAUAAGGCGUACGUGUACGCCGAUGAGAGUACAUCACGAAUAAGCAUCGGCUAACUCCGUGCCAGCAGCCGCGGUAAUACGGAGGAUGCAAGCGUUAUCCGGAUUUAUUGGGUUUAAAGGGUGCGUAGGCUGUUCGACAAGUCAGGGGUGAAAACCCGGCGCCUAACGCCGGAACUG